rnacentral:rRNA from 1 species
GAACGUCGUGAGACAGUUCGGUCCCUAUCUGCCGUGGGUGUUGGAAUGUUGAGAGGAUUUGCCCCUAGUACGAGAGGACCGGGGUGAACGUACCUCUGGUGGAGCAGUUGUCGCGCCAGCGGCAGUGCUGCAUAGCUAUGUACGGACGGGAUAACCGCUGAAAGCAUCUAAGCGGGAAACCCACCUCAAAACGAGCAUUCCCUUGAGAACCGUGGAAGACGACCACGUUGAUAGGCCGGAUGUGUAAGUGCGGCAACGCAUGUAGCUUACCGGUACUAAUCGUUCGAUUGGCUUGAUUGCUCUCAUUUU